UUGCUCCUUUCUGUGGCAGGUCAUUCGCUGGCCAGGCACUAGGGUUGAAUGCUGGAAACAGACUGCAGCCAUGUGGAAACCCUGCAGAAGGUCCUCUCUGGUUGGAUGUUCCGAGAAUGAGCGAGCACCAGCACGUUCCCUGUGGUGCUGGAGUUGGCCGAGUGCCACCAGGAUCAGGACAGGACCAUGUGGCAGCCCGGUGCUUCCCUCCUCAUGGCAGAAGACAGGAGUGCCCAGGGCUGGCCCAGUCACACACUGGGGUGUCCCCCGGGGACCAUUACUUGUCUGAACUUUGAAACCAGGUUUAUUCUUUCAGCCUGCACACACCUGUUUGGCUGUAUCACUUCUGGGUGGCAUGGAGACUGAAACCAUCUUGUUAGCACGCUCUGCUGGGGAUGUGGGCGCCCUUCUUCCAGGAGAAGUGGCUCCCCUGCCCUGCCCUGCCCGUGGCGUCCAGGCAGAGCUUGCUGAAUGUGGAGUCUGCAUGUCACCUCUCUUCAGAAGGCCUUGUGGUGACCCCUGCCCAGCCCCACACCCUACUCCUCCCGUGCUCCCUGGCUUCUCAUACCCUGCAACUGACCGGGAGCCAGGCCACUGGCCCUGAGGCCCUGGGCUCUCCCUCCCACUGGCCACUGUUUCUGAGGCCGGGCUGUGCGUGUCCCACCUCUGCCGCUGGCCUGGCGCCCUGUGCUCAGUGUUGGAGAGCACUGUCCAUGCUGCUGGGCGCCACCUGGGCUGCGCAUGCUCACUCUUGAGCAUCUCUGGUUUCCCUGUCCGCACUUGGGCGGCUCCAGCUCGGGAGUCUUAGGACUGCACACUCUGCCGUCGGAGCGGGUGUGCGCCGGGUGGCAGGCACUGGCAGCGGCCUUGGUUGCUGCAGUGGCAGCUCUAGGAGCUGUCAGGCGGUUAGGCUGGGCGUGCACAGCGGCCCCCACAGCAGACCCCUGGACUCCUCCCAGGCGCUCUCCCUUUGUUUCAGCUCCUCCUGGGCCCGGUGGGUCCAUGGAAGAUGUCCAUCACUGUGUGUGGCAUUCUCCACUGAUGUCCUCACUGUGGGUUUCCAACGCCGACCCGAUUGGGGAAUGCAGACUGUCCCUAGGUUCCUUGGAGUGUAAAGUA
rnacentral:lncRNA from 1 species